UACGUAGGGUGCGAGCGUUAAUCGGAAUUACUGGGCGUAAAGCGUGCGCAGGCGGUUUGUUAAGUCCGUUGUGAAAGCCCCGAGCUCAACUUGGGAAUUGCAGUGGAUACUGGCAGGCUGGAGUACGGUAGAGGAAGGUGGAAUUCCCGGUGUAGCAGUGAAAUGCGUAGAUAUCAGGAGGAACACCUGUGGCGAAAGCGGCUCACUGGACCAUAACUGACGCUGAUGCACGAAAGCUAGGGGAGCAAACAGG
rnacentral:rRNA from 1 species